GAAUGCUGACAUAAGUAACGAUAAAGCGGGUGAAAAGCCCGCUCGCCGGAAGACCAAGGGUUCCUGUCCAACGUUAAUCGGGGCAGGGUGAGUCGACCCCUAAGGCGAGGCCGAAAGGCGUAGUCGAUGGGAAACAGGUUAAUAUUCCUGUACUUGGUGUUACUGCGAAGGGGGGACGGAGAAGGCUAUGUUAGCCGGGCGACGGUUGUCCCGGUUUAAGCAUGUAGGCUGGUUGUCCAGGCAAAUCCGGAUAAUCAAGGCUGAGGUGUGAUGACGAGGCACUACGGUGCUGAAGUAACAAAUGCCCUGCUUCCAGGAAAAGCCUCUAAGCAUCAGGUAACAUCAAAUCGUACCCCAAACCGACACAGGUGGUCAGGUAGAGAAUACCAAGGCGCUUGAGAGAACUCGGGUGAAGGAACUAGGCAAAAUGGUGCCGUAACUUCGGGAGAAGGCACGCUGGUGUGUAGGUGAAGUCCCUGCGGAUGGAGCUGAGACCAGUCGAAGAUACCAGCUGGCUGCAACUGUUUAUUAAAAACACAGCACUGUGCAAACACGAAAGUGGACGUAUACGGUGUGACGCCUGCCCGGUGCCGGAAGGUUAAUUGAUGGGGUUAUCCGUAAGGAGAAGCUCUUGAUCGAAGCCCCGGUAAACGGCGGCCGUAACUAUAACGGUCCUAAGGUAGCGAAAUUCCUUGUCGGGUAAGUUCCGACCUGCACGAAUGGCGUAAUGAUGGCCAGGCUGUCUCCACCCGAGACUCAGUGAAAUUGAACUCGCUGUGAAGAUGCAGUGUACCCGCGGCAAGACGGAAAGACCCCGUGAACCUUUACUAUAGCUUGACACUGAACAUUGAGCCUUGAUGUGUAGGAUAGGUGGGAGGCUUUGAAGCGUGGACGCCAGUCUGCGUGGAGCCAACCUUGAAAUACCACCCUUUAAUGUUUGAUGUUCUAACGUUGGCCCCUUACCGGGGUUGCGGACAGUGUCUGGUGGGUAGUUUGACUGGGGCGGUCUCCUCCCAAAGCGUAACGGAGGAGCACGAAGGUUAGCUAAUCCUGGUCGGACAUCAGGAGGUUAGUGCAAUGGCAUAAGCUAGCUUGACUGCGAGCGUGACGGCGCGAGCAGGUGCGAAAGCAGGUCAUAGUGAUCCGGUGGUUCUGAAUGGAAGGGCCAUCGCUCAACGGAUAAAAGGUACUCCGGGGAUAACAGGCUGAUACCGCCCAAGAGUUCAUAUCGACGGCGGUGUUUGGCACCUCGAUGUCGGCUCAUCACAUCCUGGGGCUGAAGUAGGUCCCAAGGGUAUGGCUGUUCGCCAUUUAAAGUGGUACGCGAGCUGGGUUUAGAACGUCGUGAGACAGUUCGGUCCCUAUCUGCCGUGGGCGCUGGAGAAUUGAGGGGGGCUGCUCCUAGUACGAGAGGACCGGAGUGGACGCAUCACUGGUGUUCGGGUUGUCAUGCCAAUGGCACUGCCCGGUAGCUAAAUGCGGAAGAGAUAAGUGCUGAAAGCAUCUAAGCACGAAACUUGCCCCGAGAUGAGUUCUCCCUGAGACUUUAAGUCUCCUGAAGGAACGUUAAAGACGAUGACGUUGAUAGGCCGGGUGUGUAAGCGCAGCGAUGCGUUGAGCUAACCGGUACUAAUGAACCGUGAGGCUUAACCU
rnacentral:rRNA from 1 species